rnacentral:rRNA from 1 species
UACAGAGGUCUCAAGCGUUGUUCGGAUUCAUUGGGCGUAAAGGGUGCGUAGGUGGCGCUGUAAGUCGGGUGUGAAAUUUCGGAGCUUAACUCCGAAACUGCAUUCGAUACUGCGGUGCUUGAGGACUGGAGAGGAGACUGGAAUUCAUGGUGUAGCAGUGAAAUGCGUAGAGAUCAUGAGGAAGACCAGUGGCGAAAGGCGGGUCUCUGGACAGUUCCUGACACUGAGGCACGAAGGCCAGGGGAGCAA